UACGUAGGGGGCAAGCGUUGUCCGGAAUCAUUGGGCGUAAAGAGCGUGUAGGCGGUUCGGUAAGUCUGCCGUGAAAACCUGGGGCUCAACCCCGGGCGUGCGGUGGAUACUGCCGGGCUAGAGGGUGGUAGAGGCGAGUGGAAUUCCCGGUGUAGCGGUGAAAUGCGCAGAUAUCGGGAGGAACACCAGUAGCGAAGGCGGCUCGCUGGGCCAAUACUGACACUCAGGUGCGACAGCGUGGGGAGCAAACAGG
rnacentral:rRNA from 1 species